GGCGACCUUGCUGGUGGAAUAUAGAGCGACUUUGGGGCCGUAUGAGGCUGUGGGAUAUGAGGAUGGAGGAACCGCCCUCUUCUGUCCUCCACGGCCUUAUCUCCACCUCACAGCCUUCCUUCCCCUCCAGCCUGUUUCUGCCAUGCCCUCAGCCCCCGGCAGCCAGCAGUGGAUGAGAAAGAAUCGAUGUAGGGGAGGGAGCAUGCUGCCCGGCCAUGAGGUCCCAACGCUGCUCCGUGACACCGUGAGCGCUGCAAGGUCACAACACCCCUUGGUGAUGCAGUGCUGGGCUGUGAGGUCCCGACACCCCAUUGUGACGCUGGGCCGGGCCACAGGCACUGCUCCGCACCAGUCCUGACAGCAGCACUAGCUGCAGCUGCAGCGGUGGUGGUGGAAGCAUGGUGCGAGUGUGGGGAGCCACGGCCCCUGCCUGCCUCCUCUUCCUCCUCCUGGUGGCCCUGUGUGCCCGGGGUGCCCAGGCUGCGCCAUGGCAACCACCGGGAGCAGGUGAUGACGAUGCUGGUUCUCCAUAUCCAGCUUCUCAGCUGGAUCCUCGUUUGGAGCCUCAGGAGGAUCCCCGAGGCAGUACUGGUCAAGUGCCUCCAUGGAAUCCUGCUCCUGAGCCUGCCAGUAUGGGUCCCACAGGUGCAGUUCUCGCAGGCACUGGCUACUCGACACCUCAGCCUGAUGUGGACCACGAGCCUCAGGUUAAUCUGCCAGAUGGGACCGAAGGAGAAGGUGAUCCAGGUUCCCAGAUGGGUUCCAGGACUGAAGCUCUGGGAGAUGGCCUGGAAGUGUCCCCAGGGAGGGCUUUGCCAGACCCUCGGCUGCUUCCUGCGCUGGAGCCCAGCUGGUAUCCCAGGGGUCCUCUAACAGCGAAGGAAAACGCUGAACUAAGAAAAUCUUCCCCAACAUCCUCUGACAUCGUAGAGGAUAUCAUCAAGGAGUUAGAGGAGGCAGCACCUGGGAUGGUUAGAGAGACUGUGCCGAAGGAGGUGCUUUGGCAAGGAAGCGGUCGCACGCUGCCGCUCCCUGGCAAAAGAACAGAGGCAACACAGGCAACACCAGAAGUGUCCCCAGGGAGGGCUUUGCCAGAUCCUCGGCUGCUUCCUGCGCUGGAGCCCAGCUGGUAUCCCAGGGGUCCUCUAAGAGCAAAGGAUAAAGCUGAAAGAAUAAAACCUUCCCUGUUGUCCUCUCACAUCAUAGAGAAAAUCAGAAAGGACUUAGAGAAGGCAGCACCUGGGAUGGUUCGAGAGACUGUGCCGAAGAAGGUGCUUUGGCAAGGAAGCGGUCGCACGCUGCUGCUCCCUGGCAAAAGAACAGAGGCAACACAGGCAACUGCUACACCAGAUGGGACCGAAGGAGAAGGUGAUCCAGGUUCCCAGAUGGGUUCCAGGACUGAAGCUCUGGGAGAUGGCCUGGGUCCUCUAACAGCGAAGGAAAACGCUGAACUAAGAAAAUCUUCCCCAACAUCCUCUGACAUCGUAGAGGAUAUCAUCAAGGAGUUAGAGGAGGCAGCACCUGGGAUGGUUAGAGAGACUGUGCCGAAGGAGGUGCUUUGGCAAGGAAGCGGUCGCACGCUGCCGCUCCCUGGCAAAAGAACAGAGGCAACACAGGCAACACCAGGUCCUCUAACAGCGAAGGAAAACGCUGAACUAAGAAAAUCUUCCCCAACAUCCUCUGACAUCGUAGAGGAUAUCAUCAAGGAGUUAGAGGAGGCAGCACCUGGGAUGGUUAGAGAGACUGUGCCGAAGGAGGUGCUUUGGCAAGGAAGCGGUCGCACGCUGCCGCUCCCUGGCAAAAGAACAGAGGCAACACAGGCAACACCAGGUCCUCUAACAGCGAAGGAAAACGCUGAACUAAGAAAAUCUUCCCCAACAUCCUCUGACAUCGUAGAGGAUAUCAUCAAGGAGUUAGAGGAGGCAGCACCUGGGAUGGUUAGAGAGACUGUGCCGAAGGAGGUGCUUUGGCAAGGAAGCGGUUGCACGCUGCCGCUCCCUGGCAAAAGAACAGAGGCAACACAGGCAACACCAGGUCCUCUAACAGCGAAGGAAAACGCUGAACUAAGAAAAUCUUCCCCAACAUCCUCUGACAUCGUAGAGGAUAUCAUCAAGGAGUUAGAGGAGGCAGCACCUGGUGGGUAUAUUUCACUCUGUCCGCCAUAAGACUUGGGAAGCUGAGGUUCUAAAUCCAUGUGUGGACACACCGUAACCUGCACAGCAGGAAGGGAUAGAUCAGAACGGAGACACUCAAUUUCACACCUAGCAGGCACUGGUGAGCCUCAGAGAAGGCCGAGAGCCUCUGCUGCCGCUUGUGGGUCAAGCCACCUCUCAGGGGCAGCUGCUAGCCCAGCAUUACCAUAACUGGUCCAAGCUGUUCCGUGAAAACUUUGGUAUCCAGCCAGCAGCAACUGGUGUGUGCUUGCAACUGUGCCCACAAUACGGUUCAAGGAGGAGCAGUUCCUUAUAGUCACACUGUCCUGCUUUCUUCCUAAAGGGAUGGUUCGAGAGACUGUGCCGAAGGAGGUGCUUUGGCAAGGAAGUGGUCGCACGCUGCUGCUCCCUGGCAAAAGAACAGAGGCAACACAGGCAACUGCUAGACCAGAAGUGUCCCCAGGGAGGGCUUUGCCAGAUCCUCGGCUGCUUCCUGCGCUGGAGCCCAGCUGGUAUCCCAGGGGUCCUCUAAGAGCAAAGGAUAAAGCUGAAAGAAUAAAACCUUCCCUGUUGUCCUCUCACAUCAUAGAGAAAAUCAGAAAGGACUUAGAGAAGGCAGCACCUGGUGGGUAU